CCAAACUUGGUCAUUUAGAGGAAGUAAAAGUCGUAACAAGGUCUCCGUUGGUGAACCAGCGGAGGGAUCAUUAUCGAGUGUUACAAACUCCCUAACCCUUUGUGAACCUCCACCAGUUGUUGCUUCGGCGGGCCAUCCACUCUUCGGCUGUGGGGAAGCCCCGCCGGGGCCUAAAACUCCUAUCUUGUUUAGUGGUAUUCACUCUGAGUGUGCACGAAGCAAAUAAAUCAAAACUUUCAACAACGGAUCUCUUGGUUCUGGCAUCGAUGAAGAACGCAGC
rnacentral:misc_RNA from 1 species